ACUUGUGCCUGGUUAAGACAUCACAGCAUCACAGCAACAUAAUAUUAAGAGUUCAUCUCAUGAUAUCAUGGGUCACAGUGAUCCAGACCCUAUCCUGGAAGGACUGGGAACAAGACUGAGGGGGUAACCCCCUGGACAGUACACCAGGCAGAAUCAUUAUGAAGCAGUUCUGGCAGAGUGCAAUGGACUGGCGUCCUGUCCGGGGAGUACCAGCCCUCAGC